AAAAAAAUAUAUAUAUAUAUUUAGUAGACAAAUCCCACGCACCCACACAGAAAAAAACACGCACUCUGCUGGUCGGAUCGAAGAUGAAGAUCAGAUCUGGUCAGUUGGGAUCCGUCUUUGUUGAUCAAAGUUGAAAUCGGAGUUUCUCCUCCUGUCAUCUGGUCAUACGGGUCAUACGGAACGAAUCCACACACCCACACAGAAAAAACCACACACACACUGCUGGUCGGAUCGAAGAUGAAGAUCAGAUCUGGUCAGUUGGGAUCCGUCUUUGUUGAUCGAAGUUGAAAUCGGAGUUUCUCCUCCUGUCAUCUGGUCAUACGGAACGAAAAACAAUGAGGCUCACCUUAAUGUAUGGGUGUCGGAGGCUUCCUUUCUGUGUUGAUACGACCUACUAUUAUUGAUCUCAACUAUCGUUCCACACCGACCGAGAAGGUGAGUGGUUCUUUAGGUACAGCGGUUCGGAUAGAAGGCUUGUUUAUAGCCGGUUUCUUGAUUUCCAUAGAUAGAUCGUUUGUUCAUCACUCUUUCUCGAAGCCCUAACCUGUGAAAUUGUUUUUUCCUCUUUCCAUCAAGCCUCUUUUAGUUGGCCAUAGGAGCAAACCCUAACCCCUAAAGAAGAAACCCUAAGUCUGGAAUCCUCCAUUAGAGACGCGAAGGUAUGUUCGGCGAUUUGUAGACGACUGUUGCUGUUAGGUUUGUUUACAAUCUAUUUCUCUGUGUAUAAUGGUAGAAAGGCGCGAAGGUGUGUUCAAUUUAUAUGCAUGUGUUUGUGUUAGUAUGAGUGUGCUUUGGCAAUUACAGGAUUGGGAUUUCUUAGGAGGCCGCUUGCCAUUGUUGCUGCUGAAUUGACAGCUCUUACAAUAGCUUUUCUAAAUGACAGAAUUUUCACUGUAUAUUGCUUCUUGAAGACUCUUUUAGGAGAAAAGACCAGCGAGCGAGGACAAAGGUACCACGGUAGCACCUAGUUACAAUUGCCUUUCUUUGUGAUUUUCACCGUGAUAAGCUUCUUGUAUCUAACACAAUCUUUGCUUCUUCUUUGUCAUUUUAACUUGAUAGGAAAUUAAGACUCGUAUGCUUGAUUUGUUAGGAAAAUGAGAAUGAAAUAUAAAAUAACUUAAUAUCCCGUAUAUUUUCUUGUGAAUAAACCAAGUAAAAGGUUUUUUAUAUUCACUGUGGACCUUGGAGUUGGUUUAAUGGAAUUAAUGAUGACCUUCGUUUUGUUCAUUGUCUGAGAAUUGAGAUGAUGGGGUAAAAUCUGUUAGAGAACUGUUGUAUUUUAGUGAGGCUUGUUACACUUUAAAGAUACCUUAGACAAAUUAUUAUCAUAUUAGGCAAAUUAUUAUCAUACUCCCUGAAAACCAUAAUUUCCCACUCCCACUGUCUGAGCAAACUUCAAAAACAUCCAAUUUUCUUUGUUUCCUUGUAUAAAGAAAUUAAUCCCCCUGAAAACCAUACCCAUCCAAUGUCUGGUACCAUAUUUGUCCAUCUCAUUAAUUUUUGCAGCAGUUGAGACUUGAGAGAGGUAUGUGCUGGGUAAGUGCAACAACAGUUAUUGAGAGAAGACACAGUGUACUGUUUUGAGUUUUUGCAUUACCAGCUUCUGUCCUGCUCAUUAAAUGUUAAAACACACAUAAAAAUAAUAAUAAUAAUAAUAAUUUAAAAAUAAUUGUAAACUGAAAAAUCCCAAUUAUCAAAUCUGCAAUUCUAAUUGGGGAAAGUGGGGUUCACCAUCAUCAUAUACCCUUAGAUUUUAAUGAAGAAAAUUGACAAAAUUCCAGAAUAAGCAUGGAUAUGGUUUUACUCUACUUGUACAGUUGUACCAUCCAAGUUGUUCUUUUAAUCACAUGGCAGACAUCAACAUCAAAGUAUAAUAGGCUUAACAUGUACUUAAAAGUCUUCAACAGGAAACAGAUUAUUCAAAAUUCUCUUAUGUUAGUGAGAGGAUAAUAAUUCCUCAAAACCAAUAAUUUCAAAAUUCUCUUCGUUUUGUUCAUUGUUUGAGAAUAUAUAUUGAUACUUUUGUUGCUCAUUACUACUCAAAUGAUUUCUUUUGGUGACAGGAUGUCAAUGACCCAAGAUAUUGAGUUAAUACGAAGAGUAGAACUUUUCAAUGUACCUUUAUUAUAUUGCUUACUUUGCUUGGUUUAAUUUUGACAACUUUACAACUUGUUUUACAUUUUCUAACUUUAACUAUUACAUCUUUAUAGGUCAAAGCUAGGAUUGUGGUUGCCGUUGCAUUUUUUGUUGCCGUUAUAUUUUUUGUAUGGCUCAUGAAAAAGAUGCAUAUAUGUAAUGGAAGGGAGAGACUAAAACAGAGCAAGAAGAUAUAAGAAUUUUUGUUUUAUUUUGGUAUAUGGUAUAAGAAGCAACAAGUUUGUAUAUGGCUAAUUUUUGUAUAAAACAAUGAUUUGGAAUUGAUUAUAUAUAUAUAUGAUGUUAUUAGUUAGUUGUAA